UACGUAGGGGCCUAGCGUUGUCCGGAAUUAUUGGGCGUAAAGAGCUCGUAGGCGGUUCGGCAAGUCGGAUGUGAAAUCUCCACGCUUAACGUGGAGGGGCCAUUCGAAACUGCUGUGACUCGAGUCCGGUAGGGGAGUGUGGAAUUCCCGGUGUAGCGGUGAAAUGCGCAGAUAACGGGAGGAACACCAGUAGCGAAGGCGGCACUCUGGGCCGGUACUGACGCUGAGGAGCGAAAGCGUGGGGAGCGAACAGG
rnacentral:rRNA from 1 species